GUGGCCGUAGUUCAGUUGGUUAGAGCGUCAGAUUGUGGUUCUGAAUGUCGUGGGUUCGAGUCCCACCUGCCACCCACCA
rnacentral:tRNA from 2 species